rnacentral:snoRNA from 1 species
AGGCCAUGAUGUGGACAUCUUCUAAGCAGGGCCUUAUAUCUCUCCCAGGCAGCAUAUAUGCUCUCUCUAUCUUGCUGAGCAGAACUAAGAAUUUGAGUAC